GGAAUAAUAAGGUUGUCAUAAACAACAAAUUAGAAUUAAUCAAAGCCAAAUAUUAAAGGAAAGAGAGAUUAAUUAAUAUUAUUUUCUUUAAAUAAAGAGGAGCCAAAAUGGAUGAAUUUUAAAAUUUUCUUAUCAAAUAAGAAAAGAGGCCAGAGCAAGGCAAAAAGAUCAAUUGAGGAGUCACCAAAUUAUUGAGAUUUAGCCUAAAUAUAAUGAAUGUUCACAAAUAAUGUUGACUUACCGUAGUUAGAUGAAUGAGCAAAUUGCCAAGAAAAUAAUUAGUUCAGCUAAACGAGUGAAUGACCCAUUCAUCAAUCAAAACAAAAGGUUAAACUAUCAACACAUAAGCGAGCAUUAAGACAUCAUUUCAAUUAAUUAGUUAUACUCUAACUUAGAUGAAAAGGGUGAAAAAAAAUUUCGACAUAAUUACAAUGUCACACAAUAUUCAAUAUCUCAAAGAUAUACCAAUUAAGAUAAUUUCCAGAUUUUACACACCACAUUAGAUAACCAAACUUUUACCAUAGAUACAAUGGGCAUCAAUCGACUGAAGUAAAGGGUCAAAUAAUGAUUUAGCACAUCCAAAAUUGCUCAAAUUAGCAAGCGUUCAUAGCAAAUUAGAAGCUAUUAGGGGAGUAAAAUAAUUUGAACAUGGAUUCAAGAAGCGAAAUAAAUUUCAAGAACAAAUCAGCCCAUACACACAAUGAUUUGAGACUACUAUAUGAAUAAAAGAAUACCUCGGACAGAUCUAUAAAGAUCUGCCCUUAUCCAUAUUCUUCGCUCAGAGUGUUUGCCAAUGGUUGUUGGCUGUGUCUUCUUCGCCGGUGGGGGCUGGUGGCUGACGUUGCUGCUGCUGCGUGCGUCGGAGCGGUUGCUCACCAUUUGCGAGAGAGACAACGAGGAGAGAGAGAUGGAGGAAGACGAGAGGGAGAAAGAGGGAGGCAGUGGCUGGUGAGAGGAAAAAAAGGGAGGAGGCGAUGGGAGAGGGGAGGAAGAGAGGAGAAGGGACGACGGAAGAGGGAGAAGAAGAGGGGGUGGCGGCUGUUUGAGGGUGGCGAUUAUCGCCGGCGAGAAUGGAGGAAAUGGGGCGGCUGCUGGAGAGAGGGGAGGAAGAGAAGGAGAAAAAUGGAGGAGAGGGAGAAAGGCGGCUGGAGAGGGGAAGAGAGGAGCGAUGGGAGGGAGAAGAAGAGAGGGAGAGCGACGGGAGAGAGAGGUGCGCCUGGAAGCUGCUGCUUCCGGCGGCUGCUUGGAGAGGAAGAGGGGGCGGAGAGAGAGAGAGAGUGAGAGGGAUCGCGAAAGGGAUAGAGAACGUGAUAGACGUGACCGUGGUCGACGCAGGAGUUAUUCUAGGAGCAGAAGUAGAAGCAGAGACCGUAAAGAUCGGGAGGACGAUCGUCGUAAAAGGCAUGCUCGCGGAAGUGCUAGUCCUGGUCGGGAUGAACCUAAGAAGAAGAAGGAGAAGAAAGAGAAAAAAGAAAAGAAAGAUGAUGGAACAGAUCAUCCUGAUCCAGAGAUUGCAGAAGCCAACAGGCUUAGGGCAUCGCUGGGAUUAAAGCCUUUGAAGCUAUGAACAUGUACAUCUGCAUUUGUAGUUUUCGAUAUGUUUGGUGAUGUCUUUUGCCCUUGUAGCACCUUUACUUACUUUUCAUUUCACUCUUUUAGUGUACUAAUAAUCUACUACUUGAAGCUGCAGUUUUGUGCUCUGCUUUCUUACUGCUUGCAAAUUCCUUGGACCUUGUU
rnacentral:misc_RNA from 1 species